UACGAAGGGGGCUAGCGUUGCUCGGAAUCACUGGGCGUAAAGCGCACGUAGGCGGAUCUUUAAGUCGGGGGUGAAAUCCCAAGGCUCAACCUUGGAACUGCCUUUGAUACUGGGGAUCUCGAGUCCGGAAGAGGUUGGUGGAACUCCGAGUGUAGAGGUGAAAUUCGUAGAUAUUCGGAAGAACACCAGUGGCGAAGGCGGCCAACUGGUCCGGCACUGACGCUGAGGUGCGAAAGCGUGGGGAGCAAACAGG
rnacentral:rRNA from 1 species